UCAGAGACAGGCUGUAGCACAAGCUGUAGUGAGGCCAAGCUCACUGCAGAAGAGACAAUCAUAGACAAAUCACAGAAGAACCCACCAUUUUGCAAGCUGAGUCGGGAAUGUCUGAUCAUAAUUUGCAUAAAAGGCACCUUGUAAAUACUAGGUGGUUCAUCCUUCGCAGGAGUUCAGUCCAGGCAGAGCUGACCUACACAUAACUUCUGACAGGGAACAACUGCAAGCCAGUGACAUGCUUCAAGCAAAAGAAAAUUGAAUAUUUAACAUAUAUAGAGAGAGAAGUGCACGUGAUGCUGGGAACCGCAUGGCACGAACACUGGAUAUUUUGCCUUAGCCUUGCUUAUUGCUUUGUUAAGACGUAUCAGCAUGUUGUUAUGUUUUUGUUAUUUUUCUUUGGAGCAUUUUAAAUUGUGCAAGUGUUUUACAGGGAUAUCUUUCUGGAAGUCGGUGAAGCAAAAGACGUGAAUCAAUUGGACUACCUUCAAUUAUUGGUUACAAAAGAAUUCACAAAUUAGCCAUCUUACUACUGCAACACAAGAACAAAAUCAGCUGCGUACUAGAACUAUUUUACACCAAGGUUCAGAUAUUCUGAGAGUAUCUGAACAAGCUAGACAAAUGAUGGUAUCUCAUUGGUAUGAUAUUUUCAAGGGAUGGUCACCAUCAUGGAUGGCGGUCCUAAAUGUUACGUUAUAUCCUAUUAUCAUCUUUUCUAUAUUAACUGGAAUAAUGCUGACUGUAAUGUGUUGUAUGUGUUGUUGGAUGGAAUAAAUGUAUUUCAAAUUGAAAUCAUGUGCCUUAAUUGCUUUACAAUAUAUAGUUUUGCAAAAAUUAUAGUGUGAUCUAUUCAAAACAAAAUGUUUUGAAGAAUCAAGGAAGAGAAUGUUAUAGAAAUAGACUUUUUGCCUAUUGCUUUUGAUGUUAUGUCUUUUUUUAGUUUUGUAUUGCCUUAAGAAACUCCAUUUUGUAUUGUUCUGUAGCUUGACAUAAGUGCUCCACCUUUGUGUGCUGUAUGCGUGAGAGAAUGGAUGAGAGCGUGUCAGUGGAAAAGGAAAACAUCAGCUGGCGACUGGCUGAAGAAUGCAGACAGAUAAAAGACCAAAACAAGAAGAUUCUGCCCCAGAACGGCAAGAGAACAGCGGCAAUCAACCUUCAAGGAAGAACACAGUGAUAAUACAGCAGAGGACUGGGUGAAUUGACAAAACUAUAAAAGUUGGGGUGAGACAUAUCGAUUUUGGGUCUUGUUCUGCAUGUUCAUCUAACAAGAGGGACCAGCAGGAGCCUGGCUUCUACUUGUUAUCAAUUUAGCUGACCACUAAGUUGAUCUGAGCAAUGAUAAGACUGGUAACAUAUACCAGCGCAGAACAGAAAUCGAGGAAUGAAUGGCGGGAGUGGGGUGGGGGGGUAUUAAGCACUUGAUCAAUAAACGUGGC